ensembl:lncRNA uncharacterized protein At5g50100, chloroplastic-like
UCGUAUCUAUCUCUAAAUGGCCAAUUCAAUAUGCCCCCCCCCCUGUGAGUAACAUACUUUAUUUUCUUUGUUUUAAGAGAAAAGAAACAGGGGUGGGAGUUCACCUUUGUUCCACUGACAUUUGGCUUCUUAAAAAGCAGCAGAGUGGGACCUCGCGCAGCUACUCCACUAAACUGGAGUGACAUAAUCACCACGCCUCCUUCCGUCACGCUCUCCCGGUCUGCUGCUGCUGCUUCUACUACUACAUUGAUUUACAGUUUGUAUAAAUGUAACUCUCUCUCACCAAUUAGGUGAAUGUGAGGAGGCGAGAAAUACACUUGUUCUGAACCCCAUUAGCAGGUGACCUCUGUUAGUGUUACUCAACCACAUUGUUGUGUAACACAUACAUUGUUGGUAUGCAUGUUAGCUAAUGUUUGCUAACCGCACUGUCGGGUAUAGGAGCUGUAUAGAUAGUUAGUUACCUAUUUAUUUAACAAGCUCGUUUCUGGGUUCAGUGUAUUGGCAAAUGUUUUCCCAAGUGCGAGCACGUUUGGGCUCAUGUUUGACCAGGUUUCCCAGUUGUGUAAACUCAAGAGUGGCACCUGCCCUCUGCAGACAUCAGCAUCGGACCUUCAGCUCGGAGUGUCAAGGUGUCAAGGUGCUGUAUGAUGGGCUUUGUCCCAUAUGUGUGACAGAGAUCCGGUUCCUUCAGUUUAUGCAGAGAAACCAGCCCGGGAAAGUAGACUUUAUUGAUAUCUCCCUACCAGACUAUGAUGCAGAGAAAAACAAGGAUGUCAGCUACGAGAUGGCCAUGGAGGAAAUGCAUGUGAUUGAUGGGAAAGACGAGGUUCACCGUGGGAUCCCAGCUUUUGCAGUCAUGUACAGUGCAGUGGGCCUUGGCUGGUUGGGUCGCCUCAUGAUGUGGUCACCUGUGAGGCCAUUCAUGGACAAGUCCUAUACUGUCUUUGCCAAGAAUCGCUUAAAGUGGACCGGACGUGGGGAAGAGUGCAUUAAAGGACGCUGUGAAAAGAAAACACACUGACUUUUGACUACAGAAAAAAAUAAAUAAUGUCUAUUAAGUUCAUUGGUAAAGAAAAACUCAGUGUAACUCAGUCUGUUUGUUCUAAUGUGAACACUGGUUAGAGGACUCAAAAAUAUUGAGCCUAACCAUAACAAACGGUGCAGAGAAAAUGCUUUACUUCCAGAGACGAAGAGUAAUGAUGAUACUUAAUACAAGACUGUCAUACUAUGACAAAUAUACAGAACGGAGAAAAUCACUGAAGCAAAAUGCAGUCAAUUUCCUGUCGCGCACAGCCUCUCAGAUUGAGGUUCUUUUUAAAAGCAGAUAGAGAACCAAACUGUCAGGAAGCUGCCACUAGAUGUCAUUGUAAGUCUAAAAUAAUAUCAGCCGUGAGUGAAAUUGUUCUUCAGGAAUCGUGUCGUAUGACAUUCAUGAUUAUUUGCCAGGUCAUGAUUGACUUGUUCAUUUAAAGUUGCCUUGUAACAGAUACAAGCAGAAAUGAUAGGUGAAAUAAAUAUUUAGUGUUUCUGACGGUAAAGGAAAAUUAAAAAAUAAAACUGACUAAAUUGACAUUUAUAUUUUAUGUUACACUUUUAAGUAAUUUCUGUUUGCAGGUGAAAGUAUUCAGACUUUUUAAUCUCAGGUGCCUCUUUAUAGUGAGCAUGUUUCAUCAACAAUACAGUGCAAUGCAGAGCAGUGUGCGCUCCUCAGAGGUUUAAUAAACUGGCUGUAGGACAGUAAUGUUGACUGAACAUAUUCUAUGAUAUAAGGAAGACUUAUUUUUUAUUAUCCUUUUAUUUUCCACAACUGAAAUGCAUUUCAGGUAAGGCUUUAUAGUCCAGCCUGCAAAUUACUGGAGACUUAUUUAUAUAUUGCACAGGAUAUAAAAAGAUAACAAUGGGGUAACUGUAUGGAAAUGGAAUUAUUUACACUAUAAUUUAUUUUAAAAUGAUACAUUUACGAGAAAACAAAAAAAAGAUAAUUUACCUAUUGGGCUCAAAGGUUAUUAAAAUCAUGAUUAGAUACUGGGCUGUAAAAUAAUCUGUAAAUACAAAACGGGUUCACUGUAAUCUGAAACAUUUUAUUAUAUAGCACUACAGACGUGCUAUUGUUUUGUAUCACAUGUUGUGGCAUGUGCACAGUCUUAAGAGGCAGGUGUGUGUUGUGAUCUAUGAAGCCGCUAACAUCAGCUGACUGAGACCCUUGAGUCUCCCCCCCCCCCCCCCUAAUUUUAGGCUUGUGCUUCCAAUCAUGCAGUCAACAAUCACAGCACAUGUCUUUAAGCCUGUGUGGUCUUACAAAGCAGUGGUCAUGCUUCUCCGCCCCCCCAGCCCAGCUCAACCAAUGAGAUUAAAGUAUUGCACGGAAGAAGGGUUGAACUAAGAAUCAAAACACAGAACACAUAGUAGUUCUGACAGUUUGUCUAAAGUGGUGUAGUGGAUUUUAAAAAUUGAGACUUGGUUGAAGAGGAAUUGUGAAGACGGAAGAACUAGGUGUUGCGUUUUCAGGUGAAUAUUCAGUGUAAGCUUUUUAUCUGACAUCUCCUGUCAAGGUUAGAGUAGCUAUAAGCUACUUUGGUUCAUGACCUUUCCCCACUUAAGUGGAAAACCACCAUAGUAGAUGUAUAUGACUAAUGCAUAGCCAAGCUGUUUACCUGUCUUCUUGUAAAGGCACCACAUAGAGUUAAUAAUUGCAACAGUAAUUCAGUGUAUUCGUAUUUGCUAAGAAUAUAUGAGCAACUAUGUGCAAAACAGUUUUCUUCUGUCACAUCGUAUACAGUAAAUCUAUUGGCAGCAAGAGGAGUUAUUUACAGGUCAUGUUCACUGAUGUAUUUGCUCAUAGGUUUCAUGUUACAUUCAUAAAGAGACACAGUUCUAGGAAAAGGUGGACGUGCAAGGUUGUUGUGGAACAUAAUGUUUGUACACAAUCAGCUCUCCCUGAAAGCGCACACACUCAGUUAUGAGUGACAUUUAAUCUUUUCCUCCGAACAGAGGAGAUAUAGUAACUUAACUGAUGCUUGGACACAUUUGAUUUUAACUGAAGUGUGCGCUUUUUGUUUCGCAAGGUCAUUCAUUUGUUGAAAUGUUGUGUUUAAUAUAAAUGAAUGAAUUUAAACUAACAUAAUUUGCAUGUGGUUUACUAUGGAGUAUGACUACUUCUAACUUUGGUGAUCCCCUAACUUUUACUCGAGCGCCCCCAGCAAGAUGACACUCUUUGUUGUUUAAUUAAAUGUCUACAAU